GCCUUCGUGGUGUAGUGGUCAGCACCCUCGACACGAAUUCAAGAGGCCCGUGGUUCGAGUCCCGGCGAGGGCA
rnacentral:tRNA from 1 species